rnacentral:rRNA from 1 species
GACGAACGCUGGCGGCGUGCUUAACACAUGCAAGUCGAACGGAAAGGCCCUGCUUUUGUGGGGUGCUCGAGUGGCGAACGGGUGAGUAACACGUGAGUAACCUGCCCUUGACUUUGGGAUAACUUCAGGAAACUGGGGCUAAUACCGGAUAGGAGCUCCUGCUGCAUGGUGGGGGUUGGAAAGUUUCGGCGGUUGGGGAUGGACUCGCGGCUUAUCAGCUUGUUGGUGGGGUAGUGGCUUACCAAGGCUUUGACGGGUAGCCGGCCUGGGAGGGUGACCGGGCACAUUGGGACUGAGAUACGGCCCAGACUCCUACGGGAGGCAGCAGGGGGGAAUAUUGCACAAUGGGCGGAAGCCUGAUGCAGCAACGCCGCGGGCGGGAUGACGGCCUUCGGGUUGUAAACCGCUUUCGCCUGUGACGAAGCGUGAGUGACGGUAAUGGGUAAAGAAGCACCGGCUAACUACGUG